AAUAAAAUCGAGAAUAAAAUAAUUGCAAAAUAAAAAAAUAAGAACAACGAAGAAAACGCGAUGUCGUAUUUUAUACGAU
rnacentral:sRNA from 1 species